CCCGCUCAGCCGUCGGUGGCCAGGAUGACGACGGCGCCGAAGAUGCCCACGUUCUGCCCGAUGAGCUUCAUCUGGUUCCAGAACUCAACGCGGCGCGCCUCGUGCCAGUAACCGAUGUUACCGUCGAUGAGGAGGAUGGCCAGAGGGAGCAGCACGGCCAGGACCUGCGCUGCCACCCGCACGUAGUAACCGGAGAGGAAGGCCAAGGCGAGGAGGCCGUAGAGCACGAAGAGGAGCUGCAGGGUGAGCUCGCCGCCCAGGAUGUGGUUCAGGUAGGCCAGGCGGUCCUCCUUGCUGUGCUGCAGUGAGUAGGCCUGGCAGAUGAGGUAGAUGCCCAGGAAGACCUGGCCUGUGGACUGCAGCGAGCGGCUGCGUGGCUUCUGCCGGUACAGCUCGCCUGCACCGCUGGCCAGGAUGAGGAAACCGCCGAUGAUGGCGAUGGUCCGGGAGUACAUCCGCACCUUCAGCCAGUCGCCGUAGUGCACGUGGCCGCCGAUGUGUGAGGCGUAGGUGGCCACAGCGAGCUGCAGGGCGGCCCCCAGGGCGAACCAGCGGCGCUUCACCCCGAAGGACAUGAAGCUGGCACACAGCACGGCCACCCCCAUGUCCACGUACAGGUAUGGCACUGGGAUGUCAGGCUUCCGCCGCCCGUCGGCCCGCUCGGCGCACAGCAGCAGCCCGCUGAAGCAGUGCCAGAAGGGGAAGCGGGUCAGCAGCACCCCGCCGCCCGCCGUCAGCAGCCGCAGCGCCCGCCGCCUCCACCCGCGCCCCGCCGCCAUUUCGGGGAGGC
rnacentral:lncRNA from 1 species